AUGUUGCCACCCCCUCUGUCUCUGCUAGUCCUGGCCCUCUCCUUAGGACUUUCUUGGCACUCGGUGUCUUUCUUGCUUUCUUACUUUGUCUACAAAAAUCAGGAAGAGAGUGAUGGACGGCCCCUAGAAGGAGGAGUCGGGAGAUUGGAGAGAAAGAUAAUAUUGAAGCUAUUACAUGAUAAGCCUAUGAUGUUGUCAAGUCUGGAACGAGAUGAUCGAGAAGUACUGCGUGACCUCAUGGAUCUUCUGGAAGAGUAUCAAACAGGGAGGAAUCUGACCAGGGAGGAACAGCAAGCAAUAAAUGACCUGAAGAACAACAAGGACUUCCUGAUUAAGGAAGCUGACAAAGGCGGAAACGUUGUUUUGUGGCCUCUAGAAAAAUACAUCUGUGAGGCAUUGAGACAAUUGAAUGAUCGGAAUUAUUAUCAACAACUACCAUCAGACCCAACGGAUUAUUUUCAGCGGAAGUUCAUACAUAUCUUUGACUCAGCCUUGGAACACGGAGUAAUAUCCAAAAAGGAACUAGAAUACCUGCAGCCCCUGGUAACAGCACUACCCUCGUAUUUGAGAGAUUCUCUACAUCUGAUGCAAAUUAUCAAGAAUAUACAAAUUCCGAAAGGAACAUUAUUAGUCACAUGUGACGUAGAAUCACUGUACUCCAAUAUUAGACACCAAGAUGGCAUCCGUGCUAUUACAUACUACUUGGAGCAACAGGUACACAGGAAGAAUGUUUGGAAUUUAUUUCUUUUCUCAAUCAGAACAACGCUAAUGUAAGACUGACGCAUACCAUCUCCCCUUGGACAGUGGAAUUUCUGGAUCUUUGAAUAGAGGACAUCAUAUACGUGUAGAGAUUAUCUUGAGCAUGGAAAUUACUCACAGAUGUCUGCAUAUUCAAGAUCUUUGGCCCAAGAUUCACAGGAGUAAUUUUGAUCUCUUUAUACCCACAUUUAUAUCUUGGAUGGUUAUGGGGCCAUCUCUAGUCUUGUCUCUUUUUUAUUGAUGUAAAGUUCUUCUAUUAUUAAUAAUUAAAUGUUAUAUAUAUCUUAAUAAUUGAACACAUAAUUGUCUUUCAAUUCACCAUCUUUGCUGUUUGAAUAGUUAGCACAUGGUGUGCAAGUAUUGGAGUUAGGUAGUAAUAUAUAUCUCAUUGAUGCUCACCAUCCUUGCACUUUUUCAUCUUCACCCCAUUUCCCCUCCCUGCACUUUGUUUCACUUGGUUGGUUUGUUUUCUCACACAUUCACAUUCAUCCUCUUUCCUCUCCACACUUUUAUCCUCACAUGGCACUACACCUAUCCCCAUCUCACGUUUUCACACCCAUCUCAUUUAUUAUUAUUUUUUUGGUUGUCACUCUAUAUCACUCAAUACACACUCUAACACUUUUUCCACUGGGUUGUUAUGUCACCCCUCCACCUUAUACCUCACCCAUUUUCCUUAUACAUUUCACUUUCAUAUCAUUACCACAUUCACAGUUCCCUUACUUGAUCUUUAUGCAUAACCCCACUUGACCCCAGGAUAUCUCCUUUACAGCCCCUUGUUAUUUAUUAGGGAUCCCUCACACAUAUGUCAUCCAGCAAUUUUCCACACAUACACACAUCACUUACAUUUACUUCAUGCACUUUUUCUUUACUCCAAAUUAGAAAUAAGUUUAUUAAGUAUUACUCAGUUGCUCUUAUAAUAUGUAUUGCAUUGUUUUAUUUCAUGUUUUGCUAUUUGCAUCAUGAGUUGUGUAUUUAAAUAUGCUAUCUGUCAGUGUUCUGCUGAUCACAGACACUGCCCCUGUUGCUGGUGUGCGUGCGCUGUCUCUGCGCCGCCGGGGAUCCGGGGGAGUCGCGUCUACAUCAUGGUGCAGUAAUGUGAUUUGUCACAUGGCCGGGUCAUGUGACACGGCUCCGGGCGGCGGCGGUGACAUUGUUCGCGCGCCGAGAAACAGCCACAGGUGAGGACUGUAUUAUUGUUCCCCCACGAUACAAUCUGAUUGGUGUUCUUGAAUUUAAAUAGACAGUCAGACUGGGAUAAAGCAUCUCCCAGACGAAGGUUGUGUACCAAAAAGUACGUUGGAGAGGUGCUAUCCCUGUCUCUGCCAUCUGCUGCUGUACCUCUGUAUACUAUAAUAUUGGUCUGUAUCUCUGCAAUACUAUUUUUGUUUACACGCACACUGCACUUUAUAUUGUAUGUAGCACCUUUAUUCUCACUAUGAGAUAUGUAUACUUUAUAUGUACCAUGCUGCAACUUACUUGAAUUGAUCAAUCUAGUGUGUUAGUUUAUUCUACAAUUGUUUACCAUAUUGCAGUAGAUACAGUAAAUAAUAUACUACAUAUACGACAGCUCUAAUGUGCAGAGCCGGUGAUACCACCGUUUUUUUUAGCCAUAUUCC